CUGGCUCAGGAUGAACGCUAGCGACAGGCCUAACACAUGCAAGUCGAGGGGCAGCAUGGCGUAGCAAUACGCUGAUGGCGACCGGCGCACGGGUGCGUAACAGGUGUGGCAAUCUGUCCAUAAUCGGGGAAUAGCCCGGCGAAAGCCGAAUUAAAGCUCCAUGUGCCAUCAUACCGCAUGGUAAGAUGGUGAAACGUUAAGGAUUAUGGAUGAGCACGCUUCUGAUUAGGUAGUUGGUGAGGUAACGGCCCACCAAGCCGACGAUCAGUAGGGGUUCUGAGAGGAAGGUCCCCCACAUUGGAACUGAGACACGGUCCAAACUCCUACGGGAGGCAGCAGUGAGGAAUAUUGGUCAAUGGACGAGAGUCUGAACCAGCCAAGUCCGCGUGAAGGAAGACGGUUCUAUGGAUUGUAAACUUCUUUUGUCCGAGGGUAAAGUUAGGUACGUGUACCUAUUGGAAAGUAUCGGACGAAUAAGCAUCGGCUAACUCCGUGCCAGCAGCAGC
rnacentral:rRNA from 1 species